UCUAAAAGUUGGAGCUCACAAAUGUUGCUAGAUUAAGAAGAAGAAAUGGGUUUAUGGUGUUAAUAACCUAAAUUUGUGCUGCAAAAUGCAUGUAAAUUGUGCCUGAAUGAGUUUUAAUAUACAUAACGUCACAUACCAACCACCCACAGCACACGAUGUCAGUUUUCUGUCUUUAAAACUAAUCUUAAAUACUCUUAAUAUUCUAUUCACUGUUCUGUUGUGUUCAGUACUGGACCGCUCUGAUAUUCACUGAGAGCCAUGCAUCAAACUUGUAGUGCAAGCAGAAAUCUUGCCAGCUCUGACAGCUGAACUGAUUAGAGAACAGUCCAUUAGCACACGCGGAUCCAGGAAACAGCAUAGACAAACAGAAAGUCCUUUUUUCCUCCUCAAUUGUUUGCUGAAUCUAUUUACAUAGUAACCCGCUCAUAAAUAUUGAGCCCAUUUCAGAAGCAUAUCUGCUUGUGACUGUGCUAUUGUUUCCACAGGGCACUUGAGAAAGGCUGUAACCACAGGUCUUUGGUAAACUGAGGCCAUGAAAAACUUAUGGUUAUGCUUGCAGGACUGGCCCAGUUGAUCCCCUUAUUUGGACCGGCACUAAGCAACAGCACCAUUUCAUACCUGCAGAUCAUUACACUACAAGUACAAAGCCACCUUGCAGAGACGUGGAAUACUAUCAGUAUGCAGCAACAGCUUGCUUCGCUUAACAACAGUGACUUGUGCUUUUCACAACAUUUAAAGGAUACGUGACAUUAAAUUCAUCUUGAGUAAUAGAUGCUAUUAUUUGGUAAAAGGCUUGGCGCGCAGCCCGGGGCCUUGGGAAGAUUCCUGCUGACGGACCCAAGGCCAUGCACACGGCCCUUCACAAGCAAACACAGGCCCUUCCCUCUGAUGGAAUCUUGUACUCAUUCCACUUGGAAUCACUGGGACAUCUCAAACACAUUAUGUACUAAAGCUACUGAAAUUUCGUCUGAAUUUUAACUUGCCUUUAAAUUAACAUGUUAUGGAUUAUGGAAUGUACUGUAUAUGGAUAUGUAAUGCGAGUAGUGAAUAUGAACAAAUACGUUUCAUUAUUAUUAAUUCAUUAAACCUGAUACAAUAAUUUCUAUUUAAGACAUAAAAUGAAUCAUCAGCCUAAUUUUGUUUAUGUUGCAACAACACAUACUGUAUACUACCAAUCAAAAGUCUGGAAUUAUUAGGAUUUUUUUAAUGUUUUUGAAAGAAGUCUGUUAUGCUCACUACGGCUGCAUUUAUUUGAUCAAAAAUAUGGUAAAAACUCAUAUUGUGAAAUAUUAUUAUUAUUAUUAUUAUUUUAAAUAAUUUGUUUCUGUAAUGCUGAUUUGGUGCUCGGUUAUUGUCAAUUAAUGAUAAUGGUUCUUAUUUUUAUGGUGAAAAUGUUUAUGCUGCUUAAUCAUUUUGUGGAAACUGUCAUAUAUUUUUUUCUCAAAAUUCUUUGAUGAAUAGAAAGUUAAAAAGAGGAUUUAUUUGAAAUAUAAUCUUUUGUUGCAUUCUAAAUGUCUUCACUGUCAAUUUAACGCAUUCUUAACUUAAUUAACCCAAACUUUUGAAUAAACUAUGACAUGUGACCCUGGACCACAAAACCAGUCUUAAGUCGCUGGGGUAUAUUUGUAGAAAUAGCCAAAAAUACAUUGUAUGGGUCAAAAUCAUAAAUUUUUCUUUUAUGCCAAAAAUCAUUAGUAUAUUAAGUAAAGAUCAUGUUCCAAGAAGAUAUUUUGUAAAUGUAUUACCGUAAAUGUAUCAAAACUUCAUUUUUGAUUAGUAAUAUGCAUUGCUAAAGGCUUCAUUUAGACAACUUUAAAGGCGAUUUUCUCAAUAUUUAGAUUUUUUUGCACCCUCAGAUUCCAGAUUUUCAAAUAGUUGUACCUCAGCCAAAUAUUGUCCGAUCCUAACAAACCAUAAAUCAAUGGAAAGCUUAUUUAUUCCGCUUUCAGAUGAUGUAUAAAUCUCAAUUUUGAAAAAUUGACACUUAAGACUGGUUUUGUCGUCCAGGGUCACAUAUCAUAGUUUCCACAAAAAUAUUAGGCAGCACAACUGUUUUCUACAUUAAUUAUAUUAAUUAUUAAUAAUAAAAAGAAAUAUUUGUUGAGCAGCAAAUCAGCAUAUCUGAAUGAUUUCUGAAGGAUUAUGUGACACUGAAGUCUGGAGUAUUGAUGCUGAAAAAUCAGCUUGCUUUAGAAAUAUUACAUUUAAAAUAUAUUCAAAUGGAAAACUCUUUUAAAUUCUUUUAAAUGAUAAUACUAUAUUUUACAAUAUUACUGUAUCAAAUAAAUGCAGCCUCUUUGAGCAUAUAAAUAUAUUAAAAUAUUAAUUAUUACAAACUUGGGAUCAGUAGUGUGAACAAAAGGCUAAAUUAUCAGAACAUUUAUUUGUGAAAUAUGAGAUUACUUAUUUGUAU